CGGAAUCUACCUUUUCGUGGGGGAUAACGUAGGGAAACUUACGCUAAUACCGCAUACGACCUUCGGGUGAAAGCAGGGGACCUUCGGGCCUUGCGCGGAUAGAUGAGCCGAUGUCGGAUUAGCUAGUUGGCGGGGUAAAGGCCCACCAAGGCGACGAUCCGUAGCUGGUCUGAGAGGAUGAUCAGCCACACUGGAACUGAGACACGGUCCAGACUCCUACGGGAGGCAGCAGUGGGGAAUAUUGGACAAUGGGCGCAAGCCUGAUCCAGCCAUACCGCGUGGGUGAAGAAGGCCUUCGGGUUGUAAAGCCCUUUUGUUGGGAAAGAAAAGCAGUCGGCUAAUACCCGGUUGUUCUGACGGUACCCAAAGAAUAAGCACCGGCUAACUUCGUGCCAGCAGCCGCGGUAAUACGAAGGGUGCAAGCGUUACUCGGAAUUACUGGGCGUAAAGCGUGCGUAGGUGGUUGUUUAAGUCUGUUGUGAAAGCCCUGGGCUCAACCUGGGAAUUGCAGUGGAUACUGGGCGACUAGAGUGUGGUAGAGGGUAGUGGAAUUCCCGGU
rnacentral:rRNA from 1 species